CAAGAACCUCAGUUGCUUUUGU
rnacentral:miRNA from 2 species